rnacentral:rRNA from 1 species
UACGUAGGGGGCAAGCGUUGUCCGGAUUUAUUGGGCGUAAAGAGCGUGUAGGCGGCCAGAUAGGUCAGCUGUGAAAACUCGAGGCUCAACCUCGAGACGUCGGUCGAAACCAUCUGGCUAGAGUCCGGAAGAGGAGAGUGGAAUUCCCGGUGUAGCGGUGAAAUGCGCAGAUAUCGGGAAGAACACCCGUGGCGAAGGCGGCUCUCUGGGACGGUACUGACGCUGAGACGCGAAAGCGUGGGGAGCGAACAGG